UACGUAGGGUGCAAGCGUUGUCCGGAAUUAUUGGGCGUAAAGAGCUCGUAGGCGGUGUGUCGCGUCGGCCGUGAAAACCUGGGGCUCAACUCUGGGCGUGCGGUCGAUACGGGCAUCACUGGAGUUCGGCAGGGGAGACUGGAAUUCCUGGUGUAGCGGUGAAAUGCGCAGAUAUCGGGAGGAACACCAGUGGCGAAGGCGGUGCUCGUGGGCUGGAACUGACGCUGAGGAGCGAAAGCAUGGGGAGCGAAC
rnacentral:rRNA from 1 species